CAAUAGAGUAUAUUUAAGUUGUUGCAGUUAAAAAGCUCGUAGUCGGAUUUUGGCUGAGAACGAUCGGUCCGCCGUUAGGUGUGCACUGAUUGGUCUCAGCUUCCUGGUGAGGAGGUGUGCUUCACGGCCACUUAGUCACCGUGGUUACUUUGAAAAAAUUAGAGUGUUCAAGGCGGGCUUACGCUUGAAUAUAUUAGCAUGGAAUAACACCAUAGGACUCCUGUCCUAUUUCGUUGGUCUCGGGACGGGAGUAAUGAUUAAGAGGAACAGUUGGGGGCAUUCGUAUUUCAUUGUCAGAGGUGAAAUUCUUGGAUUUAUGAAAGACGAACUUCUGCGAAAGCAUUUGCCAAGGAUGUUUUCAUUGA
rnacentral:rRNA from 1 species